rnacentral:rRNA from 1 species
AGAGUUUGAUCAUGGCUCAGGAUGAACGCUGGCGGCGUGCCUAAUACAUGCAAGUCGAACGCUUUGUUUUUAAUUGAUAUGAAGAGCUUGCUCUGAUUUGAUUUUAUCUGACAAAGAGUGGCGAACGGGUGAGUAACACGUGGGUAACCUACCUCUUAGCAGGGGAUAACAUUUGGAAACAAGUGCUAAUACCGUAUAACACUAACAACCGCAUGGUUGUUAGUUGAAAGAUGGUUCUGCUAUCACUAAGAGAUGGACCCGCGGUGCAUUAGCUAGUUGGUAAGGUAAUGGCUUACCAAGGCGAUGAUGCGUAGCCGAGUUGAGAGACUGAUCGGCCACAAUGGGACUGAGACACGGCCCAUACUCCUACGGGAGGCAGCAGUAGGGAAUCUUCCACAAUGGGCGCAAGCCUGAUGGAGCAACGCCGCGUGUGUGAUGAAGGGUUUCGGCUCGUAAAACACUGUUAUAAGAGAAGAACGACAUUGAGAGUAACUGUUCAGUGUGUGACGGUAUCUUAUCAGAAAGGAACGGCUAAAUACGUGCCAGCAGCCGCGGUAAUACGUAUGUUCCAAGCGUUAUCCGGAUUUAUUGGGCGUAAAGCGAGCGCAGACGGUUAUUUAAGUCUGAAGUGAAAGCCCUCAGCUCAACUGAGGAAGGGCUUUGGAAACUGGAUAACUUGAGUGCAGUAGAGGAAAGUGGAACUCCAUGUGUAGCGGUGAAAUGCGUAGAUAUAUGGAAGAACACCGGUGGCGAAAGCGGCUUUCUGGACUGUAACUGACGUUGAGGCUCGAAAGUGUGGGGUAGCAAACAGGAUUAGAUACCCUGGUAGUCC